rnacentral:pre_miRNA from 1 species
UUUUAAAAAUUUCAUUUAUUUCUACUAUUAAAAAUUGACAUAGCUGAUAGAAUAACCAAAUAGUGACAUGUGGCGUUAUAUGUACCUUAUCUUGACAUACAUGUACCUGUUUUUAACUGUGGAAAUGAAUAAAAAUUUUUAAUA